rnacentral:rRNA from 1 species
GAUGAACGCUGACAGAAUGCUUAACACAUGCAAGUCAACUUGAACUUCGGUUUGUGUGGCGGACGGGUGAGUAACGCGUAAAGAACUUGCCUCACAGCUAGGGACAACAUUUGGAAACGAAUGCUAAUACCUGAUAUUAUGAUUUUAGGGCAUCCUAGAAUUAUGAAAGCUAUAUGCGCUGUGAGAGAGCUUUGCGUCCCAUUAGCUAGUUGGAGAGGUAACGGCUCACCAAGGCGAUGAUGGGUAGCCGGCCUGAGAGGGUGAACGGCCACAAGGGGACUGAGACACGGCCCGUACUCCUACGGGAGGCAGCAGUGGGGAAUAUUGGACAAUGGACCAAGAGUCUGAUCCAGCAAUUCUGUGUGCACGAUGAAGUUUUUCGGAAUGUAAAGUGCUUUCAGUUGGGAAGAAAAAAAUGACGGUACCAACAGAAGAAGUGACGGCUAAAUACGUG